UGAAUAGUGCACAACGAGCGCGAGCCGGCAGCCGGGCAGCAGCGAAGCUAGAGUGAGCGGGCAGCAGGGAAGCGAAAGAAAAAGGAGAAGUGAGCGGGCAGCCAGAGAAAAAGAGAAGCGACCGGGCAUCUCCUCUUUGACCCUUGUCCCCUCUUGCCGUUGCCGGCUCCUCUCCUCUCCCCGCGCCUCGUCCGCCUCCUCUCCUCCCUCUCUCUCGUCUCCUCACCCGCACUGCCAGCCUCUUCUCUCUGCUUGCCCCAGCCGUCUCUCUCCUCCCGCGCGCCGUCAGCCCCGGAUCUGGAGGAAGAGGAGAGAUGCGGGGUUUGGAGGAAGAGGAGAGAUGUGGGAUCUGGAGGAGGACGUUGCCGGCUCCUCUCCUCUCCCCGCGCCUCGUCCGCCUCCUCUCCUCCCUCUCUCUCGUCUCCUCACCCGCACCGCCAGCCCCUUCUCUCUGCUUGCCCCAGCCGUCUCUCUCCUCCCGCGCGCCGUCAGCCCCGGAUCUAGAGGAAGAGGAGAGAUGCGGGAUUUGGAGGAAGAGGAGAGAUGUGGGAUCUGGAGGAGGAAGAGGAGAUCCGGGCGUCCCAGCGGUGGCUCGACCGAUGCAAGUUCUCGACGACGACGCGCUACUCAUCCCUGCCGGCUCCGAUCUCGUUAUCAAGCGCGUGCCCAUCAAGUUCGUGGACGGCCGCGGGGACGCAUCGGCUCCUUGUCAGGACAAAGCUGAGGAGCAGCAUGGCUGUGGGCGCAGUGACCGAGGCGAUGGCAUUGCGUCAUUUCUGCCUCCAUUUCAUAAUUUUGAUGAUCCAGAUAAGGCUGUUUGUCCUGGUUUGGAGGCAGAUGGUAAAAUUCAGACCUGUUUUUAUCACUGGUGGUUGCGAAUCUCAGGCUUUGCAUGUCCGUCUAUGACAUCCUUGCCGUCGAAGGCAGAUUCAUCUUUCCAGGAUAGGGCUGCUCGACGUAUAAAGUAAUUUGUGCCAUCAUCUCUGCCAUCCAUUUAUCUUUGCUAAGGAAUGUGAGAUGUUACUACUUACUAAUUUUGUAUGUUGUUUAGUAUUCCACUAGUUGCAUGGUGGAUGUUUUUUGCUGUUAGUUUCUUUGUAUGCUAGCGAAGCUCGAGUUCAAUAGUUCUUGUCAUUACGUAUUUGUUAUUCACCCCCGUACUGAAUUUCUUUAAAAUACAUCGGUUCCAGUCUUGACUAUGGGCUGUUUUGCCAUGCUUACAUCAGAGCUCAAAAGUAGAUGUCAUCAGCAAGUAGGUGAUACCUGUCUGUCCGAUUUAGCAUUUUGGAAUUGCUCACAACAUUUCUUUCGGCAUGUCAAUGAAAAUGGCACCUUCCCGUUCUGAUGUUUAUUAUGUUUCUUGAAGCCCUCACCAUCUUUAUAUUCAUUACAUAUUCUCAAUAGCUUAUUUCUUAAUAAUACCAAAAGUGAAUACCAGGAGCUCAUCCUUACCUCUCCAGUCUAUUCUUAUUUGAGUAUUAAGAGCACCUACAUUGCUUUGGUUCUGUAUGACUGAUCAAAUUUACACACACCUCAAUCAUAGUAAAAUCUGGAAGGAGACGUAAAAGAAUCAAAGAAAAGUAGAGAUGCACAAUAAUUUUACUUUUCAGGGAUUGUUCUUGGGUUCAGCUUUCGCUGGCAUGUUGUUAUUACAGAGUUACCCUAUCUCUUUGAAUGGUCGUAUGUACUCCAAACUCUUAUAGAUUAUGCAACUAGCUAAUGGUUGGAACUUUAAUACUCCGCUUUAUUUAUACGUAGCACAACCUCAUGUUAGUUGCCAUUUUAUUGCUAUAGAUAUGGUCUUGUUCUGAUUGUAUAUGUGAUGAUUAUAUCCAUGUGUAUGUAUGUGGUCUUCAAAGUUGUUGAAAGAUUUAAAGCGUAAGCAAGCUCGUCAAAUUCCUUCGGUGCGUCAUAUAUUCUUAUGUCUCCUUCCUAUGCUUUAGAGGUUUAUAGUAAGAAGAUAUGAGAUUCAGUCUUUCCUUUUCAGUAUAUCUGGAAGUAUAUGGGAGAGAUUACUAGGUCACACAUAUAGUUCAGUUAUUAAGUUUCUAAAUAAGUUCAGCCCCGGAGCACAUAUUUUGCAUCCAUUGCUUAUUUAACCAUUGAGAUCUAUUCUCUCUGGUUCAUACAGUAUGUUUACAUUUGACUUGGAAUUGGCUGUACUUUUGUUCUACUUUUGUUACAAGGUAUAUCAUCAAUUUCCUGUCUGGAUGUACUUUUAUUAGUUUGCUUCUAACUGCAUCUUAAUUGUACUCGGUAGGCUCUACAGGAUUCGAUGAUGGAUGUGUGAAUGUGAGCAAUCAGGAUAUAAAUUCUUCCAACAACAAGACAUGCAUUCAGGAAUAUGUUGCGUCUUAGCUUUGCAGCUUCACAUUGUAGGAUUAAUAUUUGGCACCUGACAUGAGAUUGAGAAAUACCAUGCUUUAAUUAAUUAUUAGUACAUACCUUGUGCAGGGCACAUAAAAUAUAUCUGAUAUCGCUUUUUUAUGAAUACUUUUAUCUUUUCUAUCCUAAUUCAGUAGCACCAUUUCUUGAUGUUAUUUCUCUAUACGAUUGUUGCUUCCACUAUAGUUUUUCUCAUCUGAAAUGAAUUUGAAUUAGGUCACUUUAGUACCAAAGUAAAAAAAUUAUUUGUUCUUGAGAAGAGCCAAAAUCCUAGGUGAUCGUUAGAUAUUAUUGAUAAUUAUCAAUUAAUAAUUAUGUGCUUGACUGUUUGUUGAUGACCAGUAAAUUUGUCAGUGUGCUUUUGGAAUUUCCAUGUGUUCAAUAAAAUUGGCAAUGGGAUCGGGAGUUGGUGGCAAAGAAUUAUAUGGUUUGAUGGCACUAGGGGCAGGAGUGCUGUUUUGAC
rnacentral:rRNA from 1 species